rnacentral:rRNA from 2 species
CUCUUGCAAACCAAUGUAUUAGAGGUCCCGCCUGCCCUGUGACCAAAAGUUUAACGGCCGCGGUAUUUUGACCGUGCGAAGGUAGCGUAAUCACUUGUCUUUUAAAUGAAGACCUGUAUGAAUGGCAUAACGAGGGCUCAACUGUCUCCUUUUUCCAGUCAGUGAAAUUGACCUGCUCGUGCAGAGGCGAGCAUAAACCCAU